CUGGUAGUAGAGGGGACGAACCAAUCCAAACCCCCCAACAGUAAGAUAUCCACAGGAGAUGGGAUUUCUGAUACUUUCUCAACCUCUUCAAGCAUUGAAGCCUUUGUUUCUGACCUGGAUUAAUUCAAGCCGCAAUUUCCAGGGAAAAUUCUCACUUCUUCUCCGCAUAUCAUUGAUGGUGAUGGCUGGAGUUGCAUAUGCAUACUGUCGCACUUAUUAGUAUCCUUUGGGACGGGCGUUGGCUGGAAUGAAAAAUUUAGACGCCCACAUACGCUAUUUCAGCAAAACGAUUGAACAGGACCUCCAAAAAAAGUCGAGAUAACAAGGGGAGUGGAACACCGUGAAAUGAGCAGGAAAUGCGUGUUUCAUAUUGCUUAUCAAGAAAUGAAACCCUAUUGCUGAGACGCUCAUGUCCCAGUGGCAGGUUAUGAGCUUUAUAUGGAUGUGUUUAUUCCGUACGUUGCCUAGAUCACGAUAUGCUAUAAGCAAGUGGAAUUUAAUAUCCAUCGGGCGAACCCACUUCUCCAUGAUAUGUUCAAGUUCUUAUCUUCUCCAGUUCAAGUCAUUAUUUACCUCCUGACUGAGGCGGGAAGGAGUUAAUCUAUUUAACCAAAGACCUCUCUCUGCAGAUAGAAACAUGAAUGCCCAAUAUCCCGCUAGAUAUGAAAAUUAUCCCUAGCUAGUUGAGGUCUUCUAUCUGACUUUUGAGUCCUUGAUCCCUUCCUUUGAUCUAUCCCUUAUGCUUAUUAUCACUCCCGUUGUUAGCGGGCUCCUUGAACCUUGAAUCUUCCUCAGAACUAUUCAGAUUCCAAGGUCCCUAAUUGUCAAGGGACAUCAAAUCCGCAACCGUUAAGAAGCAAUUAAUGAGGCCUCUCUUGGAGACCUUUGUAUAGAUUUUUCCGUGAAAUUCGAGGUGGCUGUUUUCCUUUUCUCUUCAAUUGGUGUAGCAGUUUGACAAAUAAUCCUCGACAGGGC
rnacentral:sRNA from 1 species